rnacentral:SRP_RNA from 13 species
GCUGGGCGUGGUGGCGCAUGCCUGUAAUCCCAGCUACUCAGGAGGCUGAGGCAGGAGAAUCGCUUGAACCCAGGAGGUGGAGGUUCAGUGAGCUGAGAUUGAGUCACUGCACUCCAACCUGGGUGACAGAGUGAGACUCUGUCUCAA